rnacentral:rRNA from 1 species
CAAUAGCGUAUAUUAAAGUUGUUGCAGUUAAAAAGCUCGUAGUUGGAUUUCAAGUCAAGCAGCCGGUCCGUCACAACGUGGCGCGUACUUGUGCGUGCUUUGACUUUACUUUCGGAGAACCAUUCGUGCUAUUAAGUUAGUGGCUUGGGGAUCCGGAUCGUUUACUUUGAAAAAAUUAGAGUGUUUAAAGCAGGCUUUUUGCUCUUUGAAUACAUUAGCAUGGAAUAAUGGAAUAGGACUUGGGAUUUUUCUAUUUUGUUUGGUUAUAGGACCUAAGUAAUGAUUAAUAGGGAUAGUUGGGGGCAUUUAUAUUUCAUUGUCAGAGGUGAAAUUCACGGAUUUAUGAAAGAUAAACUUCUGCGAAAGCAUUUGCCAAGGAUGUUUUCAUUAA